rnacentral:rRNA from 1 species
AGCGAACGCUGGCGGCAGGCCUAACACAUGCAAGUCGAGCGCCCAGCAAUGGGAGCGGCAGACGGGAUAGUAACACGUGGGAACGUACCUUUCAGUUCGGAACAACCCAGGGAAACUUGGGCUAAUACCGAAUACGCCCGUAAGGGGAAAGAUUUAUCGCUGAAAGAUCGGCCCGCGUCUGAUUAGCUAGUUGGUGGGGUAAUGGCCCACCAAGGCGACGAUCAGUAGCUGGUCUGAGAGGAUGAUCAGCAUCACUGGGACUGAGACACGGCCCAGACUCCUACGGGAGGCAGCAGUGGGGAAUAUUGGACAAUGGGCGCAAGCCUGAUCCAGCCAUGCCGCGUGGAUGAUGAAGGCCCUAGGGUUGUAAAGUCCUUUCGGCGGGGAAGAUAAUGACGGUACCCGCAGAAGAAGCCCCGGCUAACUUCGUGCCAGCCGCCGU